rnacentral:tmRNA from 1 species
UGGAGCCUUGGCCCUUGUAAAUCAGGGCCUUCGACCCCAUAAUUCCACUCAUGGUCGUAAUCCCGGCAGUCGGGCGGCAUUCUGGACGCGGGUUCGAUUCCCGCCAGCUCCACCACUGAGGGGCUGUACUGGUUUCGACAGGGUGAAAGAAGAUGAGCAGGCGACCCGAGAGGCGACGGACGUAAUCCGCGCAAAACCACAAACGCCAACGAUGAGCGUUUCGCACUGGCCGCUUAAGGCCUGCUGAGGACAUAGCCGUCCGAUAAACAGAAUGGCUAUCGGCGGGGACUUCGGUCCCCGUCGUCA